GUUUGAUUGGGUCAUCCAUUUGCGAUGUUAAUAUAGAAGGCUGGUUAAACCGUUUGGUUUUCGACCACUACGACCCGGGUUCAAUUCCCGCAUUGGACA